CCUACGGGAGGCAGCAGUGGGGAAUAUUGGACAAUGGGGGGAACCCUGAUCCAGCCAUGCCGCGUGUGUGAAGAAGGCCCUCGGGUUGUAAAGCACUUUCAGUGAGGAAGAACGCCUGGUGGUUAAUACCCAUCAGGAAAGACAUCACUCACAGAAGAAGCACCGGCUAACUCCGUGCCAGCAGCCGCGGUAAUACGGAGGGUGCGAGCGUUAAUCGGAAUUACUGGGCGUAAAGCGCGCGUAGGUGGCUUGAUAAGCCGGUUGUGAAAGCCCCGGGCUCAACCUGGGAACGGCAUCCGGAACUGUCAAGCUAGAGUGCAGGAGAGGAAGGUAGAAUUCCCGGUGUAGCGGUGAAAUGCGUAGAGAUCGGGAGGAAUACCAGUGGCGAAGGCGGCCUUCUGGACUGACACUGACACUGAGGUGCGAAAGCGUGGGGAGCAAACAGGAUUAGAUACCCCUGUAGUC
rnacentral:rRNA from 1 species